rnacentral:rRNA from 1 species
CCCUUAGAGUUUGAUCAUGGCUCAGGACGAACGCUGGCGGCGGGCUUAACACAUGCAAGUCGAAGGAGAAGGUAGAAGCUUGCUUUUACUGGAGACUGGCGGACGGGUGAGUAACGCGUAGAUAACCUGCCUAUAGCUGGGGGAUAACACUGCGAAAGUGGUGCUAAUACCGCAUAAUGCAGCGGGGCCGCAUGGCCAUAGUUGUUAAAGGUUUCGACCGGCUAUAGAUGGGUCUGCGUGCUAUUAGUUAGUUGGUAGGGUAACGGCCUACCAAGGCGAUGAUAGCUAGGGGGUCUGAGAGGAUGAUCCCCCACACUGGGACUGAGACACGGCCCAGACUCCUACGGGAGGCAGCAGUGAGGAAUCUUGCGCAAUGGGCGAAAGCCUGACGCAGCCACGCCGCGUGCCGGAUGAAGGCCCUAUGGGUUGUAAACGGCUUUUACUAGGGAAGAACGAGAGGGUUUCGAUCUUCUGUGACGGUACCUAGUGAAUAAGCACCGGCUAACUCCGUGCCAGCAGCCGCGGUAAUACGGAGGGUGCAAGCGUUGUCCGGAAUCAUUGGGUGUAAAGGGUACGUAGGCGGGAGCCUAAGUCUGGGGUGAAAUCUUGCCGCUUAACGGUAAAAUGGCCCUGGAUACUGGGUUUCUUGAGUGCAGAAGAGGCAGGUGGAAUUCGUGGUGUAGCGGUGAAAUGCUUAGAUAUCACAAAGAACAUCAGUGGCGA